UUAUGUGGUAACUGUGUUAUUCAUUUACAUGAAUUAUCAUUUAUGAUUCUUGGGCUCACUUGUAUUCUACAUGCUCUCAGUCUACUGUUUUCUUUUUUAUAGCAAAUUAGAUUGAUGGUGAGCCCUAUUGGUAAUAUGAAUACCUUGUUCGGAAAUCACCAACCAAAGCUCACGAGCUGAAUCUUUUCCGCGACUAUGCUGCUUCAACGGCUGAAAGAGAUGGUGGCAUCUUUCCAACUUCUUCCUCCCACAGAAGCUGUGUCCCUCCUUAGAAGGAUCCGUGGAGGUUCUGCUGUUGUGGUGAUUG